rnacentral:rRNA from 1 species
GAUGAACGCUAGCUACCAUUAUGGGUAUGCAAGUCGAGGGGCAGCAUGUCGGUUGCUCGUUACCGAUGAUGGCGACCGGCGCACGGGUGAGUAACGCGUAUCCAACCUACCCUUGUCCAUCGGAUAACCCGUCGAAAGGCGGCCUAACACGAUAUGCGGUUCACCGCAGGCAUCUAAGGUGAACGAAAUGUGAAGGAGAAGGAUGGGGAUGCGUCUGAUUAGCUUGUUGGCGGGGUAACGGCCCACCAAGGCGACGAUCAGUAGGGGUUCUGAGAGGAAGGUCCCCCACAUUGGAACUGAGACACGGUCCAAACUCCUACGGGAGGCAGCAGUGAGGAAUAUUGGUCAAUGGACGGGAGUCUGAACCAGCCAAGUAGCGUGCAGGACGACGGCCCUAUGGGUUGUAAACUGCUUUUAUAGGGGGAUAAAGUGUGCCACGUGUGGCAUAUUGCAGGUACCCUAUGAAUAAGGACCGGCUAAUUCCGUGCCAGCAGCCGCGGUAAUACGGAAGGUCCGGGCGUUAUCCGGAUUUAUUGGGUUUAAAGGGAGCGUAGGCCGUCUUAUAAGCGUGUUGUGAAAUGUCGGGGCUCAACCUGGGCAUUGCAGCGCGAACUGUGAGACUUGAGUGCGCAGGAAGUAGGCGGAAUUCGUCGUGUAGCGGUGAAAUGCUUAGAUAUGACGAAGAACUCCGAUUGCGAAGGCAGCCUGCUGUAGCGCAACUGACGCUGAAGCUCGAAAGCGU